rnacentral:rRNA from 1 species
GUAGGUGGCAAGCGUUGUCCGGAAUUAUUGGGCGUAAAGCGCGCGCAGGCGGUUCUUUAAGUCUGAUGUGAAAGCCCACGGCUCAACCGUGGAGGGUCAUUGGAAACUGGAGAACUUGAGUACAGAAGAGGAAAGCGGAAUUCCACGUGUAGCGGUGAAAUGCGUAGAGAUGUGGAGGAACACCAGUGGCGAAGGCGGCUUUCUGGUCUGUAACUGACGCUGAGGCGCGAAAGCGUGGGGAGCAAACAGGAUUAGAUACCCAGGUAGUCCACGCCGUAAACGAUGAGUGCUAAGUGUUAGGGGGGUUUUCCGCCCCCCUUAGUGCUGCAGCUAACGCAUUAAGCACUCCGCCUGGGAGUACGGCCGCAAGGCUG